rnacentral:rRNA from 1 species
UACCCAGACUCCUACGGGAGGCAGCAGUGGGGAAUAUUGGGCAAUGGGCGCAAGCCUGACCCAGCAACGCCGCGUGAAGGAUGAAGGUUUUCGGAUUGUAAACUUCUGUCGCGAGGGACGAAGAAUGACGGUACCUCGUAAGAAAGCCCCGGCUAACUACGUGCCAGCAGCCGCGGUAAUACGUAGGGGGCAAGCGUUGUCCGGAUUUACUGGGUGUAAAGGGCGUGUAGGUGGCAUGGCAAGUCAGAAGUGAAAGCCCGGGGCUCAACCCCGCGGACUGCUUUUGAAACUGUCAGGCUGGAGUACAGGAGAGGUAAGCGGAAUUCCUAGUGUAGCGGUGAAAUGCGUAGAUAUUAGGAGGAACACCAGUGGCGAAGGCGGCUUACUGGACUGUAACUGACACUGAGGCACGAAAGCGUGGGGAGCAAACAGGAUUAGAUACCCUCGUAGU